AUGAAGGAUGUGAAGCUUCACCACCAUUCACAACUCCAAUAUGGUCCAGUUCGUCAUGAGGAUCCGGAGCUUCAACUUUUCAGUUCAUCUUUCAUAUGCUUUUUAGUACAUCUACUUCCUCGUCAUAAGUCCAAUUUCCAUUUCAUGUUUCCAGCUUCCUAUAGAACAAACGUGUGCUUGUGGUUAAGCAUGAGAAAUGAGCAUCUGUACUGUCUUUUAUCAGUUUGUAGAGCAAAAUAUGUACCAGAGUCAAAUUCUCAAAAAAAGGCUCUUCUUUGCAUCUUUCAAUGCUCACGGUUCAGUUUGUGUGUGUUACUCCACAAUAUAUAA
rnacentral:rRNA from 1 species